AGGUGUAGGGCAGAUAUAGUGCAGGUGUAGUGCAGAUGUAGAGGGGGUGUAGCGCAGGUGUAGGGCAGAUAUAGUGCAGGUGUAGUGCAGAUGUAGCAGGAGUGUAGCGCAGGUGUAGGGCAGAUAUAGUGCAGAUGUAGCGGGGGUGUAGCGCAGGUG